rnacentral:rRNA from 1 species
AGUGAACGCUGGCGGUAGGCCUAACACAUACAAGUCGAACGGCAGCACAGUAAGAGCUUGCUCUUACGGGUGGCGAGUGGCGGACGGGUGAGGAAUACAUCGGAAUCUACUUUUUCGUGGGGGAUAACGUAGGGAAACUUACGCUAAUACCGCAUACGACCUACGGGUGAAAGCAGGGGAUCUUCGGACCUUGCGCGAGUGAAUGAGCCGAUGUCGGAUUAGCUAGUUGGCGGGGUAAAGGCCCACCAAGGCGACGAUCCGUAGCUGGUCUGAGAGGAUGAUCAGCCACACUGGAACUGAGACACGGUCCAGACUCCUACGGGAGGCAGCAGUGGGGAAUAUUGGACAAUGGGCGCAAGCCUGAUCCAGCCAUACCGCGUGGGUGAAGAAGGCCUUCGGGUUGUAAAGCCCUUUUGUUGGGAAAGAAAAGCAGCAGGUUAAUACCCCGCUGUUCUGACGGUACCCAAAGAAUAAGCACCGGCUAACUUCGUG